rnacentral:rRNA from 1 species
CUACGGGGUGCACCAGUGAGGAAUAUUGCACAAUGGGGGGAACCCUGAUGCAGCAACGCCGCGCGGAGGAUGACGCAUUUCGGUGUGUAAACUCCUUUUAUAUGUCAAGAAAAUGACGGUAGCAUAUGAAUAAGCACCGGCUAACUCCGUGCCAGCAGGCCGCGGUGAAUACGGAGGGUGCAAGCGUUACUCGGAAUCACUGGGCGUAAAGGACGCGUAGGCGGGUUGGAAAGUCAGGUGUGAAAUCCUACAGCUUAACUGUAGAACUGCACUUGAAACUUCUAAUCUAGAGUAUGGGAGGGGGAGAUGGAAUUAGUGGUGUAGGGGUAACAUCCGUAGAUAUCACUAGGAAUACCUAAAGCGAAGGCGAUCUCCUGGAACAUUACUGACGCUAAGGCGUGAAAGCGUGGGGAGCAAACAGGAUUAGAUACCCCUGUAGUC